rnacentral:rRNA from 1 species
UACGAAGGGGGGCUAGCGUUGUUCGGAUUUACUGGGCGUAAAGCGCACGUAGGCGGAUCGUUAAGUCGGGGGGUGAAAUCCUGGAGCUCAACUCCAGAACUGCCUUCGAUACUGGCGAUCUUGAGUCCGGAAGAGGUGAGUGGAAUUCCUAGUGUAGAGGUGGAAUUCGUAGAUAUUAGGAAGAACACCAGUGGCGAAAGGCGGCUCACUGGUCCGGUACUGACGCUGAGGUGCGAAAGCGUGGGGAGCAAACAGG